GGCGAAGUAGCUCAGCUGGCUAGAGCAACCGGUUCAUACCCGGUAGGUCGUUGGUUCGAAUCUGACCUUCGCUACCA
rnacentral:tRNA from 3 species